CGAGCUGAUGACUCGCGCUUA
rnacentral:siRNA from 1 species